CAGACUGUUGUCAGUGAUGAAACAUAGUUAAGCUGAAAAUAAUGAUUUAAUUCAGCUCCUUCGUCACUACCACUGAGACAACACAUGG